GAUGAACGCUGGCGGCGUGCCUAAUACAUGCAAGUAGAACGCUGAAGGAGGAGCUUGCUCUUCUGGAUGAGUUGCGAACGGGUGAGUAACGCGUAGGUAACCUGCCUGGUAGCGGGGGAUAACUAUUGGAAACGAUAGCUAAUACCGCAUGACAACAGUUAUUGCAUGAUAACUGUUUAAAAGGGGCAACUGCUCCACUACCAGAUGGACCUGCGUUGUAUUAGCUAGUUGGUGAGGUAACGGCUCACCAAGGCGACGAUACAUAGCCGACCUGAGAGGGUGGUCGGCCACACUGGGACUGAGACACGGCCCAGACUCCUACGGGAGGCAGCAGUAGGGAAUCUUCGGCAAUGGACGGAAGUCUGACCGAGCAACGCCGCGUGAGUGAAGAAGGUUUUCGGAUCGUAAAGCUCUGUUGUAAGAGAAGAACGAGUGUGAGAGUGGAAAGUUCACACUGUGACGGUAUCUCACCAGAAAGGGACGGCUAACUACGUG
rnacentral:rRNA from 1 species